GACGAACGCUGGCGGCGUGCUUAACACAUGCAAGUCGAACGGAAAGGCCCUGCUUUUGUGGGGUGCUCGAGUGGCGAACGGGUGAGUAACACGUGAGUAACCUGCCCUUGACUUUGGGAUAACUUCAGGAAACUGGGGCUAAUACCGGAUAGGAGCUCCUGCUGCAUGGUGGGGGUUGGAAAGUUUCGGCGGUUGGGGAUGGACUCGCGGCUUAUCAGCUUGUUGGUGGGGUAGUGGCUUACCAAGGCUUUGACGGGUCGCCGGCCUGAGAGGGGGACCGGCCACAUUGGGACUGAGAUACGGCCCAGACUCCUACGGGAGGCAGCAGUGGGGAAUAUUGCACAAUGGGCGGAAGCCUGAUGCAGCAACGCCGCGUGCGGGAUGACGGCCUUCGGGUUGUAAACCGCUUUCGCCUGUGACGAAGCGUGAGUGACGGUAAUGGGUAAAGAAGCACCGGCUAACUACGUG
rnacentral:rRNA from 1 species